CCUGACACAUGGGGACCCCCAUUCCCCAGACAGCCACUCCCUGUCACUUCCCCACUCUCCCCAUUCCCCUGGGACACCCAUUCUGAGAUCCCCACAUGCCCUGAGCCCCCCACUCCUGGGAACACCAUGUCCCACCAUGUCCCCAGCCUGUCCCCUGCUGUGUCUCCACCCUGCCACCACCCUACCCCCACCAAGGGCCACCUACACGUGGGGAUGAAACGUGACAUCGCUUCCUUCCCCUUGGUCCCAAGAGCCGCCAGACAGGGGACAGGUGGCCCCGGCAACGUGUGACAGCCAGCCCGGGUGGCCGGGGACACCGGGAUGGCCGGGAAGGUGGCGCUGCUCCUGUGGGCCCAGACCCUCGGCCUCGCUGGCGCCCAGACCACCCAGCUCCUCGUGGAUCCCCCCUGGACACCGCCGAUGCUGUGGGACCAGGUGACACUGACCUGCCAGGGC